AAGGGCUCAGGGACUGUGAACUGAAGCGAGCCGUCUGUUUUUCUUCACAGGGAACCUGGCAGUGGACGUUCCUGGGGGUUCUCAUUGGUGCUGGAGGUGAUCGCUCCCCCAGUCAGUGAGGAAGGGGUCCUAGGGACCCAGCACCCAGACCAGCCUCUGAGGACACGGAGCCUGAAGAGGGUCCUCGCCUCACUCAUGGACAGUCACGGUGCUCACUGGAAACGGUGAGACUGUGUUUUCAGACUUGCUAUGUUUUCUUAAAGCCCUCCCAGGCCAGGAAAUUGCUUCAUGGACAUAAAGGUUGGAACAGAAGACAAAUGACAGGUGCUGGCUCUUGCAUGAUGACCACGUUCUCCCUCUCAUGAUGGGUACACCGUCUUCAUUUUGAAACCGAGAAAAACAUCAUCAGCUCCAAGGUACUCCCUUUUAGACCAAGAUGCUUUUCACCCAGGGAAGCAUCGGUGAUGUCGACUCUGACCCAGUGGACUAAGGAGCCAUCCUAACUAUCUAGUACCUACACCAGGGCACACUUAAGUCUGGACAAGGCUUGCUUAACCAAGUCACAGAAGCUGCCUCUUGUCACUGAAACGAGGUAGUCAUUUCUAGGACUUGCUCUCUAUAUUCCUGUGAUUCUCAGUGUUUCCCAAAGCAUCACCAGCCUUUCAGAAUAAGCCAAGGAAAAAAUUUCUGUG
rnacentral:lncRNA from 1 species